UUAUUAGUUUUUACUACAAGGUUUUGUGAAUUUGAUUAUGGUUCAGGUUUGGUUAAAAUAAUGUUAUCUAGUCGUGAUUCAUGUAGUGGGCAAUAUUUAUUGACCUUGGUAAAUUAGCAUUUGUAUAUUAUCUGUUCCAGAAUAAUCGGCUAGGCGGGUUAAAUUAGAACUCUAAUUGUGUUUAUGCUAGAUUUUUAUUGUGUGAGCUUUAGUAUUCUAGGGUGAAAUUUGGAAUUCUAUUGGUAAGAAGUCUAGUUUGUAAGAUUUUUUGUAUGAACCAGAUUAGUACCUGGGUAAGGAAAAUUAAAUAUAGCAGGAGUAAAGUGAUGUUUAAACUGAAAUAAUAUUGGCAGGUUUUUAAAUUAUCUUUGGAGGUUGGAUUGUAAUUGAGAGCCCUCAUUUACGGCUUUGGUUUUUGUUUUAUGUAUGAUCGUUUAUUUUAUUCUUAAGGAUUGUAAUUUUAAGUUUUUAAUUAUAAAAACAGAUAUUUACCUAGUUUAUGCCGGAGUAAUUCUGACCUACAAUAUGGUGAGAUGUGGAAUAAAGGAUUAGUUUGUUUUAUGAAAAUGUAAAAGACAGUAAACUGGUUUUUAUGUCUAGUUGAAGAUUAUCUAAAGACGGUACAAAUCAUCCAUCAAUUGCCCAAAGGGGAGUAAGUUGUAGUAAAGUAGAAUUAGGGGAACCUGUUUCUAGUAGUGA
rnacentral:ncRNA from 1 species